rnacentral:rRNA from 1 species
AUUGAACGCUGGCGGCAGGCCUAACACAUGCAAGUCGAACGAGUGGCGGACGGGUGAGUAAUGUCUGGGAAACUGCCUGAUAGAGGGGGAUCACUAAUGGAAACGGUAGCUAAUACCGCAUACCAUCGGAUGAGCCCAGAUGGGAUUAGCUAGUAGGUGGGGAAAAGGCUCACCAGGGCGACGAUCCCUAGCUGGUCCGAGAGGAUGACCAGCCAAACUGGAACUGAUACACGGUCAAGACUCCUACGGGAGGCAGCAGUGGGGAAUAUUGGACAAUGGGGGAAAGCCUGAGGCAGCCAUGCCGCGUGUAGUAAGAAGGCCUUGGGGUUGUAAAGUACUUUCAGCGGGGAGGCGUUACCCGCAGAAGAAGCACCGGCUAACUCCGUGCCAGCAGCCGCGGUAAUAC